rnacentral:lncRNA from 1 species
UAUUCUGCUCUGACACAAAAGGAGUCAAGGCAGACAGGAGCCAAAAGUUUGCACAUCAAACAAACCCAAGGAGGUCAUCAUGAACAUCAAUAUUGGGACUCUAUAUAUCAACGGUGUCACUGCCUGCUCUUCUGCUCUCGUGCUGAGGUGGAAAAUUCCACUCCCUCUGUCACGCCCCCCCCCCCCCUCCUCCUCCUCCUCCUCCUCCUCCUCCUCCUCCACACCCAUCUGAUCAGCCUUCACCAUUUUCACCUGCUGCUCCCUCUUAGCCAGGUGUUAUUGCACCAUGGCCUUGGACUUCUCUUAUCUGUUGCUGCCCUUACAACAGAGAGCCUGCUGCUGGUUCUUUCAUACCUGCUUUCUUUGAGAAUGACAGAUCACUUAUUUCCUCAAACAAAAUACCACCAAACCAAAGAGGUUGUCAGAAAAGAGAAUUCUUCAAGUUCUUCCUGUUUGGGAUGGUUCUCCUGGCUCAGUGGUUAA